rnacentral:ncRNA from 2 species
ACUAUAUGUAGUGUUCAAGGUGCUGAUCCCCGCUAGGGGUAAGGCAUGGGAAGCCGGUGCAAGCCCGGCACUGCCCCCGCAGCUGUAAGCGGCGAGCCAAGGCCGACAAUGCCACUGGGAAACCGGGAAGGCUGGCCAAGGCCGUGACCCGCGAGUCAGAAGACCGACCCUGAACCGAUAUCAGCC